rnacentral:rRNA from 1 species
UACGUAGGGGACAAGCGUUGUCCGGAAUUACUGGGCGUAAAGCGUGCGCAGGCGGUUUUGUAAGCCAGAUGUGAAAUCCCCGGGCUUAACCUGGGAAUGGCAUUUGGGACUGCAAGGCUGGAGUGCGGCAGAGGAGACUGGAAUUCCUGGUGUAGCAGUGAAAUGCGUAGAUAUCAGGAGGAAUACCGAUGGCGAAGGCAGGUCUCUGGGCUGACACUGACGCUCAUGCACGAAAGCUAGGGGAGCAAACGGG